GGCUAUUUUUCCAAGGAAGCGUUUGAAGAACUAAUGGACUGGGAGAAGGUCCGUUAUAAGAACAUAAAACGGAAUUAUGAAGCCAUGGUUGCCAUUGGAUUAGACGUACCAAAGCCCGAAUUUAUGACCAAUCGGAGCAGAAGGCGUCCAAUCCAAGUAUACGAAUCUAGCGAGUCAGAUGAGGAUUGGACACCUAAACUUCUGACAAAAAAUCCACAACGAUUCAAAAUCUUUAGGCCUUUUAAGAAUGAAAAUGGCAAGAAUUCCAAAAGAAAGCCUGUCA